UACCAUAAAUGUAGAUGUUCGAGUGCAAGUGUACACAACUGUACUAUGUUCUUUGUGUUUCACUGUUGCAGUCAUCACCUGUUGGAGGAUUCCCAAAGUUCAGGAAA